GAUGAACGCUGGCGGCGUGCUUAACACAUGCAAGUCGAACGAAGCAUUUCUGUGGAAGCUUUCGGGUGGAAACAGAAGUGACUUAGUGGCGGACGGGUGAGUAACGCGUGGGGAACCUGCCUUGUACAGGGGGAUAACCGUUAGAAAUGACUGCUAAUACCGCAUAACCCUUUAGUGCCGCAACGCAAGGAAGGAAAGGGUUUCAUCGGUACAAGAUGGACCCGCGUCUGAGUAGCGAGUUGGUGAGGUAAUGGCCCACCAAGGGGACGAUCAGUAGCCGACUUGAGAGAGUGAUCGGCCACAUUGGGACUGAGACACGGCCCAAACUCCUACGGGAGGCAGCAGUGGGGAAUAUUGCACAAUGGGGGAAACCCUGAUGCAGUGACGCCGCGUGAAGGAAGAAGUAUUUCGGUAUGUAAACUUCUAUCAGCAAGGAAGAUAAUGACGGUACUUGACUAAGAAGCCCCGGCUAACUACGUGCCAGCAGCCGCAGUAAUAC
rnacentral:rRNA from 1 species